rnacentral:rRNA from 1 species
AGUGAACGCUGGCGGUACGCCUAACACAUCCAAGUCGAACGGCAGCACAGUAAGAGCUUGCUCUUACGGGUGGCGAGUGGCGGACGGGUGAGGAAUACAUCGGAAUCUACUUUUUCGUGGGGGAUAACGUAGGGAAACUUACGCUAAUACCGCAUACGACCUACGGGUGAAAGCAGGGGAUCUUCGGACCUUGCGCGAUUGAAUGAGCCGAUGUCGGAUUAGCUAGUUGGCGGGGUAAAGGCCCACCAAGGCGACGAUCCGUAGCUGGUCUGAGAGGAUGAUCAGCCACACUGGAACUGAGACACGGUCCAGACUCCUACGGGAGGCAGCAGUGGGGAAUAUUGGACAAUGGGCGCAAGCCUGAUCCAGUCAUACCGCGUGGGUGAAGAAGGCCUUCGGGUUGUAAAGCCCUUUUGUUGGGAAAGAAAAGCAGCAGGUUAAUACCCCGCUGUUCUGACGGUACCCAAAGAAUAAGCACCGGCUAACUUCGUG